CCUGCGACCGCAGGACGGAAUGUGGCGUGGCCGGUUCGAUGUCGAAUCGUCGCCACGCUGAACCACUCA
rfam:Haladaptatus sp. R4 NODE_2_length_1049977_cov_26.4246_ID_1027, whole genome shotgun sequence.